ensembl:lncRNA
GGAGUGGGGACACAUCCUGCUACAUUGGCAAGACAUCAACCAGAGUUUAUAGGAGAGUGAACAAGAAUGAGCUCUUCUCCAAGUCUGGAGAAAAAUCCCUCCCAGGAUCUGAGGUCUGCUGCAAACCAGAGAGCAAAUGCCUUAUCGGUAGGGAGAAGAGGCUGAUGGAUUGGAAUAUGUUGAAGAACCAAGAGGAGUUCCUGGGGUAUAGUGUGGAGAGUGGAGCAACACAGAGGAUCCAGGAUGAUUCCUAAAAAUGAAGAUAAGAAGCAAAAAUCGGAAGGUAUAAUUUCCACAAGGAUGUUUGUGGACACUGGAAUUUUGGGGAGUGCUUUGUAUUUGUGAUGUGUAUGUGAUGAUCACAUAGGUGGCUGAAGAUUCAUUGAUAUCCAGAAGAUAAACCACAAGAAAAGCAACCAGGAACAACUCCACGCUGGCUGACUUUUCCCAGAUCCUUGUGUUUUACCUGGAAAUUUGUGCUUUGACUCAGAUCCUAGCUCUGAGUGUGAAAUCUCACAACAAAAGGAAUUAAUCAUUAAAGUUCUAUGGGGAAUUCUGGUCUUUUAAAAAUCACUUGCAUACCAUUUCUCUGGGUGACAUUUUCUGAUCGACAAAGCUUGAGUCAUGGGUCUGUUAACUUUUUACAUAUUGUGGCUACAAUGAUAUAAUUCAGGAUCUUCUUAAGGAUGUGACAAAUUUUUUGCUAUCUAGUGACUAAGGACUUUCUAUUUUCAAUCUGAUGAGGUGUCAUUUGGAGCGCUAUGAACUUUACAUACCCAUUUAUACAUCCCCUGAUGAUUAAAAUGGAGCUAGAUAACUUAAUUAACAAAAAGAAAAAAUAAAAUUAUUAUGGUGUUUAUGCAACAUUGAAAAAGCUACUUCUUGAUGCUGAAAGGCACAAAUGUAAUCAUCAGGCAUUUGGGCAAUGUCUAAAAAUUAAUUUCAUUGUUGUCUUCAUCUCCCAAUCAAAAUGGUAUUACGUUUCCUUUCUCCUUCUCUGCCCAUUCAGCAUUUAGAAGAGAAAGGAAGUAGUUUUCAGCUUUUAGCUGCCAUUUUCCAAGUGCAUGUGGUCCUGAGCAUGCUCACCUAAAAUCUGUUUCUCUCUACCCCUCACUUCCACUCCAUAUUUUUUUUCUCUUUAUGUACUUUAAAAAGUUUACCAUAACUUUUUUACCAUAAACAAAAACAUUUAAGAAGUUUACCAUAACUUUUUUACCAUAAACAUAACUGAAUCUUCGUAAAUCUGGAGGAUAAGACACAAGAAAAAUAUAGAGGAAUUAAUCAAAACACAAGGAUGAUUUUUUUUCCCUCUUCUGAAUGUCAGCUUUGAAAAACUCUUACUGCUAAAGGCCGGAAUAAAUGUUAAUGAUUCAAAACAAAGAAGAAGGUUGUAUUUGUAGCUGUACUGUGAAAAAACACUUGUUAGCUUGAGUGAUAUCCUUGAAUUGUUACAGUUUUCUUCUCUAAAAAUGCAAGUAUCUUUUCUUUUUCUGUUAAUUUUUAAAAAAUAAAUUUAUCUCAUUUA